AAUUAUUUAAACAAAAGAAAAGCUUGGAGGGUGUUAUUUAUUAAACGGACAUCCCAGCAAAGACCAGCAACGAACGGGAUUGUGCUUAUUUGCCUCCAGAAAGUCCUAUUUGGCCAAUCCGAGGCAAUAAGUUACCUCGAACAGGUAUACCGGGACUUUAUAUUCCGAUAUGCUACCGAGGGACCCCUUUCGCUCCGUUUGCAUAAUAUUACAAAGAUUUUAAAUUGGGCGCGAUUAAUUAUCUUUAUUAUGGAUAGAAAAUAUGGUUUAUUACACACCCAGGGUUCUUUAACAAAAUAACCGCAACGUUUUAAAAAGCUCUAAAUAUUAACCAAGAUUACAGCCAAUUUUUGCGGCAUGAGGCGGUAUAUGGCGGUGUUCAGUAUUUACGGAACAAAGAUAUACCGACGAUAGGUUUUAUGCAAGAAGCCGGGCAAAUAGUCGUCGUUUACCCACGCGCCUACCACUCGGGAUUUGGUGCGACGGCGACAGUCGCUAAAGCGGUUAAUUAUACCGAUCUGCAAUAUAUUCUUCCGCAAGAUUACAGGCCGUGUCACAAGAAAUACCAGCCGUCAAACCCCAUUACCGCUGAUUUGGUGUUCCCCGAAAAUAAUUGUGGGCGGAUUGCUAUUUUACGUUGCAAACCUAAGAUAGUUGCGAUUUUGCGCCCCGCGCCGACUUCCCAGGAUUUCCGCGAAAAUGUUCCAAAAAGGAAAUACGCACUAGAGCCUAAGAGAAAACCUAAUAAACGGCCUAAAUUGAAAGGAAAAAAGCACAACGAGGUACAAAACGAACCAUUAAACGAACCCCCAGCGAAACGACAAAAAGACCUACCCCCUUUUAAAGAUAUAAUAAACGAGGUUAUAAAUGCAAAAGAGCGGGCCAAAAGCCACAUUAUGGUAUAUAUUAACAACUCGGAUUUUAUUUUGCCCAACAAGACUAUGGAAAAAAAGGCAGAUCAAUAUUUGGUCCUUAGCGCACGUUGGGCAAAACAUGCGCCGUUUAGCAGAAUGGUGGCCUUAAUAUUGGAAACCCACGCAGUUGAGCUGAUAUAUUAUAAAUUAUUUGGCACUUUAUUCGAUAAGAAUAGAGUUUUGCGGCGAUUACCAAGCGAAAUAGUUGACAAAUUUCUCGACAUACUGACCGAAAGACCAACCGAUUCCGCGUUCAGAACCUGGUUAGAAAGACGCCGUACCUUUUUAAAAUUUGGCCUGGAAUACCUACUGUUUAUACCCGUUAUUGGGGAAAAAAGGAUGCCUGGCUUUCAAGACUUUGAACGGUUAACAGACUAUUAGAUCCAAUUAUUGCGCAAACUUAUUAAAACCCCUGCCAACGCCGAUACCAUUGCAAAAAUCGGCGAAAGAUUUCGACGCAAUAUUAUCGAAGGUAAUAUUUCGGUUUGGAAAAAUAUUGGGCACAAUAAAAUUCGGGAUAUAAACUUGGAGGAGAUAUUACGCCGGAUUUUUCCGCUCGAAAUAAAGCAGGUGGAACGUUAGAAGGCCGUUUCCGGUUGGCCAAUAAUGCAAAACUUGUAUUUUUCCUAAUGGCGAGACCCGCAGGAAUAUUGUUAAUAACCUUCCAAAUUCCGGUUAAAUUGCCCAGUUAAUAUCUACAACCAGGGAAACCUGCACAUUAUAUUAGGUAAUUAAAAACAAAAUUUUGUUGGGUGAACAGGUUUUUUAUAAUUCUUCCCAAAUAAAAACUGUCCCAUAUUCCAUAUAUCCCUUCGUCCCUAAAUGGUAAAAAUAUAUUUGCAUUUCAAUAUUUCCAUUAAUAUACGUUUUAAACGAGACAGCCAAAUGCCCGGAAAAUAAUUACCUCCUCGAACAAUGCUGUUUUUCCUGUGCGGGCGCCUGGGUUCCCAGGUCCCCAACAAUUAACCUUUCCAAAUUCCUCGCCAAUUAACCAAUUUAUCAGUUUCGAUUUAAUGGAAACGGUUUAAAAGAAAAUAGCACGGCAGUAGAUUUAAUGGAGGUAUCGACAGGGUAGCAAAUCGAGUUAAUUGGACAAUAGAUAAAUUAAAUAUAUAAACGGCUGGUAAAGGAAAGAAGUUCGACCUGGUUGGCCCUGCUGGGCAAUUGCUGGUUUCUUAAUAUAAUUUAGGUGGUAGGGAAACUUAUUUAUUUAUAUCUAAUUAUUUUGCAAUAUUAACAGGCAUAUAACGUUUCCAAAAUAAUUUCCUAAAUAAUAUCCGCUAAAACGGCUCCAGUAAUUCGCUGUUUGUCUCAAUUUUUUUAAUUAAUUUUUAGCACAACCGGUUCCGUUAUUUUCGGCCUUUAUAUAUUUAUUAUACUAAAGGAAAUCUUAAAAUAGCUGGCCAGGCUAUUUCCCCUUUGGCCACACCCACAAUAUUUCCGGCGGAUUAAAGAGGGCCUACAAUUGCAGCCUGCCUGUUUUAACUGGGGCUACCGUAAAUAUAAGGGCAAACCUAUUUAGGCAAACCUUAUCCCUGUCAGCUCCGCCCAAAUAGGUGGCAUUUUUGUCCAAUUUCGGCUUGGGUUGCGGCUCUGGGAAUGCUUCCAAAUAACGACUUUGGAAUGUUUAAUUGCGAGGCCGUUCCAGCGGCAUUUUCUGCUGCCGGUUUGUUUGAACAAAUGGGUUGUUUGUCGUAAACCAAUAUUGGAUUUGUCACUGAAACUCAGAAAAAUAACGGAGUUAGAAAUGGUGGGUUCGGCGAAUAAUAGUUCUACCAUUCGAGACUUAUAACGCCCGAUAAUCGCUGGAAGGAACAACUGGUAACUUUUUGCGUUUCACUGGCUCCGAUCGUAUUUAAAGUUAGGUUCAACCAAAUAUUAAUAUAACCGGGAACGUAAUGGUCGGGUUAAAUUUUGCUAAAAAGGAAUGGUUUUGCCAAUUGGUGUAUAUUUUGUCGAUAUUGUUCAGCUUUGGUCCACGUAUUUGUGGCCAAAUGGGCUGAAUGGCUGGUAUUGUGCUGCAGAAAUUCUCAAAAUUUGGCAGCGAGAUUUUCUUUCCAUGCCCGUCAUCCCUAACCUCGAGUUUUGGACGUUUUCGGGUUUUCUAAUAUACCUUUUUUAUCCUCGCUUAACUUGACAAUACUUUUCUGCGGCAUUAAUAUAUGCAUUUACCGCCCUGGCCAAUAAUGAGAGCUCCUUUUGGUGUCUUUCGCCAGUCAGUUGGGAGUUUUAUAUUUUACACUGCUUUUUGGCGUUUAAAGCAACUGCUGGGCGGGAAGUAAAUUUCGGAAUAAGAGUCUCGUCAGCAGCAAUCUCUGAAAUAAACUUCGUCGAAAUUGGGGUUAAAGUCGCUCCAAAAACGGCUGCCCUUUUUUUCAUUUUUGCAUAGCUGCUAUAUCCGCAAAUGUUUGCGUCCUUUCUUUUGGCGUUUCCAAAUCCUUGUAUUUCUUUUUGUUCGCAGUCCUUAAAAAAGUCGAAACCAACCAGCUCCGAACCUGGUACCUAGCUAACAAACCCUUUUUUAUCGAAUUAUCGUACAGGGUAUUGGCGUUUAUUAACAUGUUCGCCACCGUCUUCGUACCCGGAAGCCCAUUUCAAAAUAGACGGAUUAAAUAUCGAAAAGCAUUUAGGAAUUAACCUUUUGGGCAGGUUAGCUGUUAUAAAUUGAAAAAACAGAGCCCUAGUUAUAUUCGGACAGUUUUGGGCAAGUGAUGGAAACCAGGGGAGGACCAUGGCCAAGUAAACGGAAUAUUCCCAAUGCGUGGCGUACACUUCUCCCGGGACAAGAACCUUGGUAUUUCUGUCACCAUUUGCUAUUAUAAUAUUGCCUGAAGAUAUUUUCCGGCCUUUCCGCCUUAGUGGGACUCGGCCGUUCAACGAUUUUUAUCUUUUCGGCAAAAAGACGCAGCUGGUCGAGGAUAUAAUAAGGAAGGAAGGAAUAAUUGUCAAACAGGAGGAAAAUAGUUAAUGGGUAUCUUUUGCGGUUAAGAAUUAGCGGAGGUGGGCCUCGCUGACCGAACAGAUAUAAAUUUGCGAACUGGUGAUUUAAAUCUUUAAAUAUAAACCUCGAAAGUUAUAGGACUUAAUUAAUAUAUUAAAAAAAGGCUGUAAAAUAUAGUGCAGGGGCCGACUCGCUUUAUAGAAUUCUUGGGGACAAGUUGUGUUUGCCAAAAUGAAGGAGGGAGACGAGAUAAUAAAUUCAAAUUGCAGAAAAUCCGACGUUUUGAAGUUAAAAACUUAAACCACAAAAGCUUGGACGUAGGUUUAAGCAAAUUAUAACGGUGAACGGAUUUAAUAAAUUUGGGAUAACCGCAAUAAAAGACGCGGUACAUUAUAAGUUAGUGGUAAACCGUCUUUUGGGCGUCUUUGCCACAUAUUGUUGGCCGACACCCUCGCAAAUAUAAUAGCAAGGCAAAAUUUAGUAACGAAAAAAAUUGCCAUUAGAUUUUAUACUAUUUCAAAUAUUAUUUUCAGCAAUCUUGGCAAUUACAAUUCUUCAAAACGGUGUAAUAAUGUAAAGCCCGUCGGAAAUGAGGUUUAUAUCGACCAGAAGUAAAAUAUACCAAAAAGGAUGAAAUUUACAAAAGCAGAAAAUUAGUCAGAUUGCCACAUAUAAUAAAACGCCAGGAUUUUUAUUUGCGAAAUAUGGAAAUAGCUAAAAAAAAACUACCAAAAAAUGCGUAGGGACAUUUUUACCAACCACGAUUAUAGUGAAAAGUAUGUAAUUCUACCAAGUCUGCCGAGCUGAUAAAUUUGUAAUGCGCUAACAGUCCGCUUUAAUAAUAUGCACGCGAUCACAGUCUAUUUAGUCCGCUCGACUUGUUACAGGACUAGCCCCCCUGCCCUAUUGUCGUAGGCUGCGCCAAUGUUUUUUUCGUUAAAGAAUUAGAGUGGCAGGGUAAUUACCAUUAUUAUUUUCAAAUAGUAAUACUUGAUAUUGUUCAAAUAAUUUGUAUUCGGUAACAUAUUCCCGUUUAGUAUCCUAUAAGAUUAUCUACGACGCACGCCUGAUAUUACUAAUAUUAAAACUUUAAUAUAGUCGUCAUAUUUUCCUUUUUUAUUCCCAAACACCUUAUUCAGAUAACCCCGUAUAUUUGAGCAGAAAAAGCAACAACUUUACCCACCGCUAAUAUGACUUUCGAUUUUAAUCCGCAACAAACGAAGAUCGAUAGUUAAUUUUCCCACAAAUUUAUCCAAUUCCGGCGCUACCUUUUUGACAGGUUGAGAUCUUUUUCCUUGCUACCAAUUAAUAAAUUGAAAUUAGCGCCGACUGUUAAUCUUAU
rnacentral:sRNA from 1 species